AACGAACGCUGGCGGCGUGGAUAAGACAUGCAAGUCGAACGGGAUUACUUCUGUAGCAAUACAGGAGUGGUCUAGUGGCGUAAGGGUGCGUAACACGUGGGGAAUCUGCCGAGAAGUGGGGGAUAGCUCGUCGAAAGGCGAAUUAAUACCGCAUGUGACUAGAGUUGACAUCAACUCGACGUCAAAGCCGGGGCAACCUGGCGCUUCUUGAUGACCCCGCGGCCUANCAGCUAGUUGGUGAGGUAACGGCUCACCAAGGCUAUGACGGGUAGCUGGUCUGAGAGGACGACCAGUCACACUGGAACUGAGACACGGUCCAGACACCUACGGGUGGCAGCAGUCGAGUAAUUUUUCNCAAUGGGGAAACCCUGAAGGAGCGACGCCGCGUGGAGGAUGAAGGUC
rnacentral:rRNA from 1 species